GGUUACUACUGUCCUCUCUGGUGGUGUAUGUGACUGUAUAACUAUUAAGAGUAGAUGAUUGGAUUGAAGGAAUAAGGGGCAUGAACUGGAGAAAUUGGAUAAGGGAUGAAUUUGUCCAAACUGCAUUGGGAAUAUGGCUUGGGAGCAUGAAUUAUGAACCUGGAAAGGAUAGCAUUGGAAAAUCAAAUUUAAACUGAACUGGGGGUGUUUUAGGAUAUGUUGUGAUUAAUAAAAAAGAAUGGACUAGGUAAAACAUUU